rnacentral:rRNA from 1 species
UACAGAGACUGCAAGCGUUAUUCGGAUUCACUGGGCGUAAAGCGUGCGCAGGCGGUUAUGUAAGACAGGUGUGAAAUCCCCGGGCUUAACCUGGGAACUGCAUUUGUGACUGCAUAGCUAGAGUACGGUAGAGGGGGAUGGAAUUCCGCGUGUAGCAGUGAAAUGCGUAGAUAUGCGGAGGAACACCGAUGGCGAAGGCAAUCCCCUGGACCUGUACUGACGCUCAUGCACGAAAGCGUGGGGAGCAACAGG